GAUGGAUCACAUGGCACCAUGACUGGUUACCUCCGCCAACAGAUGCUUCCUAGCCGACGCUGAGGACCGUAAGCACCGCACUGGACACCAAAAGCACCGCAGACUCCACAACCGCCGUAGCUUAGCUGGGAUCUCGCCGUCUUCCUCCCACCCUGGACCAACCUCGAAUAUCCAGGACAUGUGGGAAAGACCUCUCCUACUCCAGAAAGCGUAGCAGGAACAGCUCUUAUAAGAGCUAGUGAUUUAGCCCCAGGGGAGUAUAAGGAGUAUAGCAAUCCCCAGUGUGAAUAUAACAGUAUAGCAGUUCCCCUCCAAUCACGAGACCAAGCUAUGUGUUGAGGAUUAAGCAGGACUCAAUUUUAAUGGUGCCACACUGGCCUUUUAUGACAACCCCCAAGCAAGGUGUACACCCACAUGGACAGGGACACAAACUUACAAACCAAUGAUAACACAUUUACAAUGUAUGACACUCCCACAUACAAUACAAUAAUCCUUCUCCUUUAUUUAGGAGAUAAUUGAGUCAAACACUAUACUAAACUCAAUUAUCUCCAAACACAAAAAAAACACUUUUUCAAAAAGUCCCAAAAGUACACCAAAACAUAUAAUAUCCCCCACAAAUGUUACAUCCACUGAUAGCCCUGAUCUGGGUGACCAACAUAUCCAAAUUCACCCAGAUCAGAUAAAAGGUUCAGAAAUUUUAUGGAAGUAAUAUUUUUUACCGACAGCAGGCAAUGUCCCAUAGUUGAAAAUAGCUCCAUAGAAUCGCGGCUAAGUGCCGCUGGAGAACCGUUCGGGAACCACAAGGUUUUCAUGCCGAAAAUAGUUCCAGGGCAUUCGUGGCUUAGUCCCCCUGAAGUCUAUUCACGGUUUUGGUCCAUGCGAACAAGAUGGCCGCCACCACGUGGUCAAAUGGCACUUCAAAUGGCUUCGGGAGUUCGGGAGUUCAAAGUGCUGCUUGAAAAGUUCGAAUAAUUAUUGUCCAAAGUCAUAUUAAGUACAAAUUUUUUUUUUUCUUUUAACAAUAGUAAAUUAAAGGGGCCAUGGUCACAGGGUAAAAGGCUGGCAAGUAGUCCUCUCCAAACCCCAGUGGCUCAGUGGCUUUCACCACAUGUAGUUCAGAUGAACAUUUUCAAAAAUAAAAUGGCAGAAAGGCAUAGGCUAGUAUUGGAUAGGAAAAUCUAAUAGAUAUACAUGUUACAAACAAUGGCCUUCAUUUAAUAAUUUUGGAUAAGCUUUUCAAACUUUUUAAUAUUUUUGGAUACACGUUUAAAAGAUUUUUUCAAAAUAUGAAAACAUAAAAAAAUAUAAUGGAAAAAAAUUAGUAUAUUAAAAAAUGUC